rnacentral:tRNA from 1 species
GAGGGUUAUAGCUCAAUUGGGAGAGCGCCAGACUUAUAAUCUGGAGGUUGUGGGUUCGAUUCCCACUAACGCCCUCUCCA